rnacentral:rRNA from 1 species
AUUGAACGCUGGCGGCAGGCCUAACACAUGCAAGUCGAGCGAGCGGCGGACGGGUGAGUAAUGUCUGGGAAACUGCCUGAUGGCGGGGGAUAACUACUGGAAACGGUAGCUAAUACCGCAUACCAUCAGAUGUGCCCAGAUGGGAUGAGCUAGUAGGUGGGGUAACGGCUCACCUAGGCGACGAUCCCUAGCUGGUCUGAGAGGAUGACCUGCCCCACUGAAACGUAGACACGGUCCAUGCUCCUACGGGAGGCAGCAGUGGAGAAUAUUGCACAAUGGGCGCAAGCCUGAUGCAGCCAUGCCGCGUAUGUGAAGAAGGCCUUCGGGUUGUAAAGCUCUUUCGGUGACGGGGCGUUAAUCGCAGAAGAAGCACCGGCUAACUCCGUGCCAGCAGCCGCGGUAAUAC